AACGCCGUUGCGGGAGAGAGCGGGCCGAAAGCCCGCCGCCGAAGGAGCAACCGCCCCCGGAAACUCUCAGGCACCCGGAACCGCGACGGUCAG
rnacentral:ncRNA from 1 species